rnacentral:rRNA from 1 species
AUGAUUGUCUUGGCCUGGAACUGUCGAGGACUGGGGCUGGACUCGACAGUAGGCGAACGUCGGGACCUCCUACGGUCAUACAACCCAGAGGUGGUGUUCUUAUCGGAAACGAGGAAGAAAGCGGGGGCGAUGGAGCAACUGAAAUGGAGUCUAGGUUUCACCCAAGGUGUGGCAGUUGACUAUAAUGGAAAAAGUGGAGGACUAGCGCUAUGGUGGAGCAACUAUCUGGAUGUCACUGUUCGGCCAUGGUGCCAAUACUAUAUUGAUGCAAAAAUAAAGAGUGAGGACAACACCUUCAGAUUCACUAGAAUCUAUGGUGAACCUUGUGUAGAUAAAAGGAAUAAGACUUUGGAAGCUAUAUGGUACCUCACACGACAAGAUGAUCUCCCCUGGAUAUGUGCAGGCGACUACAAUGAAGCACUCGAGUAG